rnacentral:misc_RNA from 1 species
GAACGCACCUUGCGCCCUUUGGCUAUUCCGAAGGGCAUGCCUGUUUGAGUAUCAUGAACACCUCAACUCUCAUGGUUUGCCAUGAUGAGCUUGGACUUUGGGGGUUUUGCUGGCCUAUGGUCGGCUCUCCUCAAACGAAUCAGCUUGCCAGUGUUUUGGUGGCAUUCACGGGUGUGAUAACUAUCUACGCUUGUGGGUUCCUGCCAUGCAACCUUCAGUGAUGAAGGUUCGCUGGAGCUUAUAAAUGUCUCUCUCAGCGAGGACACCUUUUUGAAGUUUGAUCUCAAAUCAGGUAGGACUACCCGCUGAACUUAAG